UUGAAGUAUUAAAUUUUACUCAGAGACUGAUUUAGAAAUGGGUUUUGAGAUCCAUCGGCGGACGCUCGGAGGCCCAAGGAGCCAGCGGCCAUGCCCUAGUGAUAGGGGAUGAACGGCCCGCCGAGGCAACGUUUUUACGGGUAGACAAUGGGUUGGAGGUCGGGCUCGUUAGAACCCUUUCUCGGUAAUGAUCCUUCCGCAGGUUCACCUACGGAAA
rnacentral:misc_RNA from 1 species